AUCAUCAUCGCAUCGCAUCGCCUCGCAACUCGUCAUCAUCAGCAGCAGCAACAAAACAUCAAAAAACCGAACGAAAAAAAUUUUGUACACGAAGAAAUUCUGUUUACAAUUCUAGUUGUAGACUGCCUGAACGAAGAAGUGUGAGGCAUGUGCGUGCUUGUUUUUAAAAUAAAUUCAAUUUUUUUUUCUUUGUAGAUACUACUUUGGGUCUACUACAAAGAAAGAAAAAAAAAAUGGUGUGUGAUAAGCGGAAUAAUUUUUUUCAACGACUCAUGUUUUAUUACUAUUUUUUUUUUCUUGUUCAGUGUGAAGAAUGCGAAAGGUCGUUGUGAUAAAACUUCGUGCUGCUGGGCAUUUCUUCGGACAUUUAAAUGUUAUCUUAUUUACCUGUAACGAUGAUGAUGCGACGAGCACGAGGCGAACGAGCGAGACAAGUCAUUAUUAUCUUUUGUUUUUUUUUUGUCACAGUUCAUUGUUUGAGGUUCAUUUACCUGCCAUGGAAUUCAGUUAUAUUAUUUUGCAUGCAGGCUCUGCUCUGCCUGCCGAUCGAAAGCAGCAACAAUAAAAAAAAAAGUAAAAUAAACCGAAUGGAGUGUAGUACGACGUUGUUGAUGAUGAUGAUGAAAAAGAAAAUGGAAAUAUGGGCUUCUAAAAUUAUUUGAAACACUUCGACACAUUUAAUAAAAAAAAAAAAUAAAUGUUCGCCUGCACACAGAAUAAAGCAAU